rnacentral:rRNA from 1 species
UCGAGAAUCUUCCGCAAUGGGCGAAAGCCUGACGGAGCGACGCCGCGUGUAGGAUGAAGGCCCUCGGGUUGUAAACUACUGUCACGGGUUAUGAAUGUGCAUAUGUUAACAGCGUGUGUAUUGACGUAAGCCCGAAAGGAAGCACCGGCUAACUCUGUGCCAGCAGCCGCGGUAAUACAGAGGGUGCAAACGUUGUUCGGAAUUACUGGGCAUAAAGCGCGCGUAGGCGGCGACGUAAGUGUAGGGUGAAAUCCCACGGCUCACCCGUGUGAAUUGCCCCGCAUACUGCGUUGCUUGAGUGUGGUAGGGGAGAGCGGAACUCCUGGUGGAGCGGUGAAAUGCGUAGAUAUCAGGAGGAACACCGGUGGCGUAGGCGGCUCUCUGGUCCAUAACUGACGCUGAAGUGCGAAAGCUAGGGUAGCGAACGGGAUUAGAUACCCUGGUAGUCCCUGAGCGGGCUGGCAAGGCGCAU